GCAGGAUCAACCAGGUAGCAUUCCUCGAUGCCGCCGGCACCGCAUGAGCAACAGGACAAGUAGUGUCCUCCAGUCAACACGGGGCACGACAGGCUUCAAUAAGGGACAUUUAACUCGGGCAUAGAGGGUACGAGGACCCCGACCGAUCAUGUUUCUGCAUACAAGACUUCCAGCAACACGCAGGCAUCCGAUUCCCGCUAUAGCUAAAAUGGCCAAGCAAGGGCGGACACCCAGGUGAGCUUCGGUGUCUACAUCGUGCAAAGAGUUUAGCACGAGAUAGAAAAGAGACCGUGGGACUAGAGAAUUCCAUCAAAUUAGGUAUGCUCACAGGGGGCCAAGCCAACCAAGGCAAAGGGUUUCGCACUCGGACUGAACUGAAAAGGUGUGAUCCCGUGAUUGUCGCUGCCGAGACAGGGAACCAACCAAACGGAACAUACC
rnacentral:misc_RNA from 1 species